UAGACGAAAGCUUGCUGGUUAGAGCAUUUAAUUGUUAAUUAAAAGUUUGUAGGAUCAAAACCUGCUCGUCUAG
rnacentral:tRNA from 1 species